rnacentral:rRNA from 1 species
UACGGAGGGUGCAAGCGUUAAUCGGAAUUACUGGGCGUAAAGCGUCUGCAGGUGGCAGUUCAAGUCUGCUGUCAAAGACCGGGGCUUAACUUCGGAAAGGCAGUGGAAACUGAACAGCUAGAGUAUGGUAGGGGCAGAGGGAAUUCCUGGUGUAGCGGUGAAAUGCGUAGAGAUCAGGAAGAACAUCGGUGGCGAAGGCGCUCUGCUGGACCAUAACUGACACUCAUGCACGAAAGCGUGGGGAGCAAACAGG